UGGCAUCGGCGAUACCGCCCCUCUCCAGGCCCCUCCGGAGCAGAACCGGGGGCAUCAUCGGUUCUGUUGGGUCUCGAAUAGGUCCACCUGAGGAGUUCCCCACCUCCGGAAAAGCUGGAGGGCCACUUCCAGGUGUAGGGACUACUCAUGUUGAGAAGAAAAGUCUCUGCACAAGUGAUCCACCCACACAUUCUGGGUGCCCGCGGGCCCGGGGCAGUGCAUGUGGACACGAGGAGUGCCACAAGAUCCCUCACCUAUGACUGGGAGGUGACCUUGACCAGCCAGUCGUCCAGAUAGGGGAAUAUCUGGAGCCUCCGGUGCCUGAGCACCUUCCCGUCAAAAGGGAGAUCCCUGCACUUCGCUGGAUAGCCCAGAGAGCAGAAGCCAGGACUCCCAUCUCAUGGACAUUGCCGAGGCCAUGGACUGUGUGGCCGUGUCCGCUGCAUCCGAAGCGGCCUGCAGGGAUGCCCUUGCGGCAGCUGUCCCUUCCUCCAUGAGCACCUUAAACUCCUUUCUAUUGCACUGCCGGAGGGAGUCCUCGAACUUGGGGAGAGAUGCCCAGAGAUUAAACUUGUAGCGACCCAGAAGAGCCUGAUGGUUUGCUACUCUCAACUGGAAG